rnacentral:rRNA from 1 species
AGUAACACGUGGGUAACCUGCCUUAUAGUGGGGGGUAGGCCUUUCGAAAGGAAGAUUAAUACCGCAUAAGAUUGUAGUAUCGCAUGAUAUAGCAAUUAAAAGGAAGCAAUUCGCUAUAAGAUGGACCCGCGUCGCAUUAGCUAGUUGGUGAGGUAAUGGCUCGCCAAGGCGACGAUGCGUAGCCGACCUGAGAGGGUGAUCGGCCACAUUGGGACUGAGACACGGUCCAGACUCCUACGGGAGGCAGCAUG